CCUACGGGGGGCAGCAGUGGGGGAUAUUGCACAAUGGGGGGAACCCUGAUGCAGCGACGCCGCGUGGGUGAAGGAGUGCUUCGGCAUGUAAAGCCCUAUCGGCAGGGAAGAAGCAAGACGGUACCUGACUAAGAAGCCCCGGCUAACUACGUGCCAGCAGCCGCGGUACUACGUAGGGGGCGAGCGUUAUCCGGAUUCACUGGGUGUAAAGGGAGCGUAGGCGGCCAAGCAGGCCAGGGGGGAAAGCCCGGGGCCCAACCCCGGGACUGCCCUUGGAACUGCGUGGCUGGAGGGCGGGAGGGGCAGGCGGAAUUCGGGGUGGAGCGGUGAAAUGCGUAGAUAGCAGGAGGAACACCGGCGGCGAAGGCGGCCUGCGGGACCGCGACUGACGUUGAGGCUCGAAAGCGUGGGGAGCGAACAGGAUUAGAUACCCUUGGAGUC
rnacentral:rRNA from 1 species